AUGGUUAAGUGGGAAACGAUGUGGGAAGGCCCAGACAGCCAGGAUGUUGGCUUAGAAGCAGCCAUCAUUUAAAGAAAGCGUAAUAGCUCACUGGUCGAGUCGGCCUGCGCGGAAGAUGUAACGGGGCUAAACCAUGCACCGAAGCUGCGGCAGCGACACUGUGUGUUGUUGGGUAGGGGAGCGUUCUGUAAGCCUGUGAAGGUGUGUCGUGAGGCAUGCUGGAGGUAUCAGAAGUGCGAAUGCUGACAUAAGUAACGAUAAAGCGGGUGAAAAGCCCGCUCGCCGGAAGACCAAGGGUUCCUGUCCAACGUUAAUCGGGGCAGGGUGAGUCGACCCCUAAGGCGAGGCCGAAAGGCGUAGUCGAUGGGAAACGGGUUAAUAUUCCCGUACUUGGUGUUACUGCGAAGGGGGGACGGAGAAGGCUAUGUUGGCCGGGCGACGGUUGUCCCGGUUUAAGCGUGUAGGUGUGUGUUCCAGGUAAAUCCGGUUCACUUUAACACUGAGGCGUGACGACGAGGCACUACGGUGCUGAAGCAACAAAUGCCCUGCUUCCAGGAAAAGCCUCUAAGCAUCAGGUAACAUCAAAUCGUACCCCAAACCGACACAGGUGGUCAGGUAGAGAAUACCAAGGCGCUUGAGAGAACUCGGGUGAAGGAACUAGGCAAAAUGGUGCCGUAACUUCGGGAGAAGGCACGCUGACACGUAGGUGAAGUGAUUUACUCAUGGAGCUGAAGUCAGUCGAAGAUACCAGCUGGCUGCAACUGUUUAUUAAAAACACAGCACUGUGCAAACACGAAAGUGGACGUAUACGGUGUGACGCCUGCCCGGUGCCGGAAGGUUAAUUGAUGGGGUCAGCGCAAGCGAAGCUCCUGAUCGAAGCCCCGGUAAACGGCGGCCGUAACUAUAACGGUCCUAAGGUAGCGAAAUUCCUUGUCGGGUAAGUUCCGACCUGCACGAAUGGCGUAAUGAUGGCCAGGCUGUCUCCACCCGAGACUCAGUGAAAUUGAACUCGCUGUGAAGAUGCAGUGUACCCGCGGCAAGACGGAAAGACCCCGUGAACCUUUACUAUAGCUUGACACUGAACAUUGAGCCUUGAUGUGUAGGAUAGGUGGGAGGCUUUGAAGUGUGGACGCCAGUCUGCAUGGAGCCGACCUUGAAAUACCACCCUUUAAUGUUUGAUGUUCUAACGUGGACCCGUUACCCGGGUUGCGGACAGUGUCUGGUGGGUAGUUUGACUGGGGCGGUCUCCUCC
rnacentral:rRNA from 1 species